GACGAACGCUGGCGGCGUGCCUAAUACAUGCAAGUCGAGCGAAGUUUUUCUGGUGCUUGCACUAGAAAAACUUAGCGGCGAACGGGUGAGUAACACGUAAAGAACCUGCCUCAUAGACUGGGACAACUAUUGGAAACGAUAGCUAAUACCGGAUAACAGUAUUUCUCGCAUGGGAGAUAUUUAAAAGUUGGUUAUGCUAACACUAUGAGAUGGCUUUGCGGUGCAUUAGCUAGUUGGUGGGGUAAAGGCCCACCAAGGCGACGAUGCAUAGCCGACCUGAGAGGGUGAUCGGCCACACUGGGACUGAGACACGGCCCAGACUCCUACGGGAGGCAGCAGUAGGGAAUCUUCCGCAAUGGGCGAAAGCCUGACGGAGCAACGCCGCGUGAGUGAAGAAGGAUUUCGGUUCGUAAAGCUCUGUUGUUAGGGAAGAAUGGAUAUGUAGUAACUAUACAUGUAAGAGACGGUACCUAACCAGAAAGCCACGGCUAACUACGCG
rnacentral:rRNA from 1 species